UACGUAGGGUGCAAGCGUUGUCCGGAAUUAUUGGGCGUAAAGAGCUCGUAGGCGGUUUGUCGCGUCUGCUGUGAAAACGCGAGGCUCAACCUCGCUGCCUGCAGUGGGUACGGGCAGACUAGAGUGCGGUAGGGGAGAUUGGAAUUCCUGGUGUAGCGGUGGAAUGCGCAGAUAUCAGGAGGAACACCGAUGGCGAAGGCAGAUCUCUGGGCCGUAACUGACGCUGAGGAGCGAAAGCGGUGGGGAGCGAAACAGGAUU
rnacentral:rRNA from 1 species